UACGAAGGGUGCAAACGUUGCUCGGAAUUAUUGGGCGUAAAGCGCACGUAGGCGGCUUAGCAAGUCGGAUGUGAAAUCCCUCGGCUCAACCAAGGAAGUGCAUCCGAAACUGCUGAGCUUGAGUACGAAAGAGGAUCGCGGAAUUCCCGGUGUAGAGGUGAAAUGCGUAGAUAUCGGGGGGAAUACCAGUGGCGAAAGCGGCACCCUAGCAUUAGCCUGACGCUCAUGUGCGAAAGCGUGGGGAGCGAACGGG
rnacentral:rRNA from 1 species